CGUGUAGGCGGCCAGGUAGGUCGGUUGUGAAAACUGGAGGCUCAACCUUCAGAGGUCGACCGAAACCACCUGGCUAGAGUCCGGGAGAGGAGAGUGGAAUUCCUGGUGUAGCGGUGAAAUGCGCAGAUAUCAGGAAGAACACCCGUGGCGAAAGCGGCUCUCUGGAACGGUACUGACGCUGAGACGCGAAAGCGUGGGGAGCGAACA
rnacentral:rRNA from 1 species